GACGAACGCUGGCGGCGUGCUUAACACAUGCAAGUCGAACGGAAAGGCCCUGCUUUUGUGGGGUGCUCGAGUGGCGAACGGGUGAGUAACACGUGAGUAACCUGCCCUUGACUUUGGGAUAACUUCAGGAAACUGGGGCUAAUACCGGAUAGGAGCUCCUGCUGCAUGGUGGGGGUUGGAAAGUUUCGGCGGUUGGGGAUGGACUCGCGGCUUAUCAGCUUGUUGGUGGGGUAGUGGCUUACCAAGGCUUUGACGGGUAGCCGGCCUGAGAGGGUGACCGGCCACAUUGGGAUUGAGAAACGGCCCGGGCCCCCACGGGGGGGAGGAGGGGGGAAAUUUGACAAAGGGGGGGAAGCCUGAGGCAGAAACCCCGGGGGGGGGAGGACGGCCUUCGGGUGGUAAACCGCUUUCGCCUGUGACGAAGCGUGAGUGACGGUAAUGGGGAAAGAAGCACCGGCUAACUACGU
rnacentral:rRNA from 1 species